rnacentral:tRNA from 1 species
GCCUGGGUGGCUCAGUCAGUUGAGCGUCUGACUUUGACUCAGGUCAUGAUCUCACAGUUCAUGGGUUCAAGCCCUGCGUCAGGCU